rnacentral:misc_RNA from 1 species
CUACCGAAUUUCGAAUGAGCUACCGCCAGCCCCUGCGCAGUCUGUCAGCCCGCUGAAGACUCGUAAUUGAAAUCCGCUGCCUCCGGGAUCCGGCUCUCUCUCUGGUCGACCGCAAAUCGCGCGUGCAAACACUUUUGUCCCGGACUCGGCCGCAAUUUGCAUCGUUACAUUGUGCGUGCGUGCACGCGUAGAUUCCGCAUAGGGAGGAGUAGACCAAGGUGAAGGGUUAAGCUCGAACGAGGGGACCUUCAGAAGGGAAGAUAAUGGAGGGUGCUGCCAAAGAUUCUUCGCAUGUUGACGUGGUGGAUGAAGAAGGUUUUAGAGAUAAGAGGACGGAAGGAAUUAUGUUUGUCAAGAGCAUGAAUGGAUAUGAUAUUGGUUUAAAAGUUUGAGUUCAUUUGUUUAAUAUAAAGGGAAUGUGAAUUUUGGAAUAGACAAGUAGAAAUAAAAGUUAUAGAUACAUACAACAAUUUCGCCAGAAUGUUAAAUUUCAAUUGAGAAAUUACAAAGAUCAACGCAUAAUUAUUAAUUUAUGAUACAUUUGCAAAUAAUUCUCUCUAACGUUCUUUCUGUAUUUUAG